ensembl:snRNA U6 U6 spliceosomal RNA
GUGCUCACUUUAGCAGUACAUAUACUAAAAUUGGAACAAUAUGAAGAAGAUUAGCCUGGCCCCUGUGCAAGGAUGACAUGUAAAUUCAUGAAGAGUUCCAUAUUUUU